rnacentral:rRNA from 1 species
CCCUACGGGGGGCAGCAGUGGGGGAUAUUGCACAAUGGGGGGAACCCUGAUGCAGCGACGCCGCGUGGGCGAUGGAGUGCUUCGGCAUGUAAAGCCCUAUCAGCAGGGAAGAAAAUGACGGUACCUGACUAAGAAGCCCUGGCUAAAUACGUGCCAGCAGCCGCGGUAAUACGUAUGGGGCAAGCGUUAUCCGGAUUUACUGGGUGUAAAGGGAGUGUAGGCGGCCUGGCAAGCCUGAUGUGAAAUACCGGGGCCCAACCCCGGGGCUGCAUUGGGAACUGUUUUGCUGGAGUAUGGGAGGGGUA